UAUGAAGUCAUUAUUCUCUCCCUGCUUCCCCCCACUUCAGGACCAGCACCCCCCCCCCCCACCACUCCUCCUCAAAUCGGAGGCCAAGGCUCUGUAAUUAUCUUGGAGAGGAACGGCGGCUGGAGGCGUCAGAGAUCUUGAUCCGGUUCUCUGCUGUUGUGAAAAACCGGAGAUAUAUAGAUUGGAAAGAAUUGAAUGGAUCCAACAUGCCAGAAAGAUCACGAUGUGGAUGAUGAUGAAAUAACUUAACAAGAAAUAGGGCCCUCAGAGUCUUCAACCCCAGCCCCCUGUUGGAGCCAAAGUCAGGUGCAAAAACCUCACGUCCCGAAUUGGCAUUCAAGCAUUGGAACGGCUCUCUGGUGGGCUGUGUGCCCCCGCCGCCGACUCUGGUCCUUGCCCAGCUCCAGCAGAAGGUCACCCAGAACACAGUGUUGGUUGGAGCCAGGCAUUCCAACAUCUCCGCUACACCACGCUGUUUGCCAUGAUGAGAGGAAUACGCUCUGCCCACUGGCUAGGGCGGUGGUGGGAUAGGUGGAAGUCAGAUGUGUGUGUGUGUGUGUGUGUGUGUGUGUGUGUGUGUGUGUGUGUGUGUGUGUGUGUGUGUGUGUGUGUGUGUGUGUGUGUGUGUGUGAGGAAAAGCCAAUACAAAUCAUAACAAACAAACUGAAAACAAGUUUCUUCAUUGCUCUCUACAUUAUCUCUCUCUCGUCUAUUAUUGAGCACUCAAACAUCUUUAAGGCCUUAUUUAUUUACAUGAAAUGUGAAGUUUUUUUUGUUGCUGAGUUUUAUGAAGUGCGUACAAGAUACACACAGCCUUCAACUGAAAUAUUUGGUUCCCUAGAAAUUUAAAUAAAACAAUU
ensembl:lncRNA